rnacentral:rRNA from 1 species
GACGAACGCUGGCGGCGUGCUUAACACAUGCAAGUCGAACGGAAAGGCCCCUUUGGGGGUACUCGAGUGGCGAACGGGUGAGUAACACGUGAGUAACCUGCCCUUGACUUCGGGAUAACUUCAGGAAACUGGGGCUAAUACCGGAUAGGAAUCCUUGCUGCAUGGUGGGGGUUGGAAAGCUUCGGCGGUUUUGGAUGGACUCGCGGCUUAUCAGCUUGUUGGUGGGGUAGUGGCUUACCAAGGCUUUUACGGGUAGCCGGCCUGAGAGGGCGACCGGCCACAUUGGGACUGAGAUGCGGCCCAGACUCCUACGGGAGGCAGCAGUGGGGAAUAUUGAACAAUGGGCGGAAGCCUGAUGCAGCAACGCCGCGUGCGGGAUGACGGCCUUCGGGUUGUAAACCGCUUUCAGCAGGGGCGAAGCUUGUGGUGACGGUACCUGCAGAAGAAGCACCGGCUAACUACGUG